AACGAACGCUGGCGGCAUGCCUAACACAUGCAAGUCGAACGGAUGGUCGCAAGACCAUUAGUGGCGGACGGGUGCGUAACGCGUGGGAACCUGCCUUGAAGUUCGGAAUAACUGCGGGAAACUGCAGCUAAUACCGGAUGUGGCCUGUGGGCCAAAGGGGAAACUCGCUUCAAGAGGGGCCGCGUCCGAUUAGCUAGUUGGCGGGUAACGGCCCACCAAGGCGAUGAUCGGUAGCNGGUCUGAGAGGACGACCAGCCACACUGGAACUGAGAUACGGUCCAGACUCCUACGGGAGGCAGCAGUGGGGAAUAUUGGACAAUGGGGGCAACCCUGAUCCAGCAAUGCCGCGUGAGUGAUGAA
rnacentral:rRNA from 1 species